CCCUAGCCCUGUUCCCCUGGAUCCACAUUGCAGCACCCCUCUCCUUCUCCAUCCUCUCCCGUCAGUCGCCGCCGCCGCCAUAUUCCACCUCCAACGUCUUCGUCCGAUGCCGAGGAGCUGCUCACCCCACAACCCCUUCUCCACCCACGACCAAGGGUUGGGGAGGCGGGGUCUUCUUGCUGGGGUGAAGGAGUAGGGGAGGUCCGGGAGUCAGGUGGUAGGGGAGUAGUGAGGGCGUGGGGUUUAAGGAGCAGUAGGGGAAGUUUGGUGGGGCUCUCAUCUCAUCUCUAAUCGCGACUCAUGUGGCCUCCAGGCCAGCAUCGGCUCCACCCCGCUCUUCCCCGUUUGAACAACGGUGAGUCCAAGAAACAAGGAGGAGGCACCACCGGAUGGGGGAGGAGAUGGCGCCUAGGGAGAGGGGUAGCGGCGGCUCCUCUGCCUACCAUCGACCUUGGGGCUAAAAUGGCGACGGUGGAAGGGAGCAUGGGAGCGAUGACCGGAUGCCAGGAGCUAAACGAGGUGGGCCAAGGAAGAGAGUGUUGCGUGGUUUGUUUUCAUGUAGCUUUCCUCUCUUGUUUGAUUUGAUUCUGUUGGCAAAACAAUGACAGAUUUCUCCAUUAGCUUAUCUGAUUUGGGGCUGAUUUUCCUCUUGCGAUUCUUGUUCAUGGCCUUGAUGUGGGAGAUUGCAAAAAAUGAAGCGAAUUAAGAGUGAAAAAAUAGCAGGAGCAACACCUAGGCUGUAGAAUUAAUGGUUGAACAAAAUCUAUGGUUGAUAUGCAGUUUAGUAAUGGCUAAUAUGAAAUCCUCUAUUACUACUUAUGGAUUUUUCAGUACUGUCUAUAUUGUAACUUUGAUGUGGAUUUAUUAUUUCUUUUACUAAUUGGUUAUCUAAGCAAAGUAGGUGUACAUGGACGAACAAGGAGCAUCCCAGCCACUGGUACCCUACUUUGUUUUAUGAAUUUUUGGGUCUUUGAGUUGAUUUGGUUGUGUGGUUGUGCUUGCGAUCCAGGUGGGUUGAGUUGCGGUUUGGUUGGAGAUGUUGGUGUUGUUUGAGACGCCCACUGGGUUCGCCAUUUUCAAGGUUCUGAAUGAGGGCAAGCUCGACAAGAUCGAGGGUCUAUGGAAGGAGUUCACCACGUCAGAACUUGGCGAGAAAGGCUCAAAGUUCAGCUCCAAGGAAUAAGCAGGUUAUAGAAUGUAGACAAGUGCUGCAAUGAACAUAUGCGUAUGGAUAUUAUCUUGAUGAUAAAGAAGGGCCACAAGAUGAUGCAAAUGAACAUGUUUGCUGCAGGUGACCAGGUCCAUAGGAGAGAUGCUUACAUUUUGUAUGGAUGUAUAUAGUUGCGCUAUAUUGGUGUGUAUGGAAGCUACAGUACCUUGCCAGUCCUUGGUGAAGGUAGUUUGAACCUUUGCCCAGUUCCCUUCUAUGUGCGUUUGAAUUUUUUGAUAGGUGAAAAACCCUUUUGUAACUUUAAUGCUCUAAUUGGAUCGGUCAAACAUGAGCAUAAAUAUAAUGAUAAGGUGCACACAAAUUGAAGUCUUAGAUUAAUGGUCUGAAUAUAACUAAGCAAUAGUCCUACUAGGAUGUUGUUUUAAGUACUUACGAGACAAUAUCAGAGGGAUGCAAUGGCUAAAAUAUGUAUGGUUUGUGAGCUUGGAGCAAGAACUGUGAUGGUCAUCUUUCAUGUACCUUCAUAAUAUUAUUAAAUGCUCAAAUUGUUGCAAAAUAUCAUGGUUAGCCUAUUGAUGUUGCAGUGCAUAAUAUGAUUAUUAUUGAAAAGGAUCAUCAGAACAUCCCAUAUGGCUUACUAUAUAUGUUCACUUGCAUCUUAGCAGCAACAUGUGAUUAAGCUCAUACAAGAUGAAAUUUGUUAUUUGUGGAUGCAUGCCUAGGCAAUCAUAUGAUUGAUGCAUUCUAACCUAACCUAUAAGGAGGCUAGCCAACUUGCCUCCAUGGAGCUCCCCAGAUUGGCCCCUUUCUGGGUGUUCUAUCACGGUGAAUUUCCCACCUCUUGUCCCCCAGCCGUUAGAUAUUGAUCGUAUGUUUUACCUUGUUUUUUAGACAUGUAUGACCAGUGGACCAGUUCAUUGGUGGGGCCAGUGUUUAUUUAUUAAGUCACCAGACAUUGAGAUCUGGAACAUUGCAGAGCAAUAAUUGAAGGAAGUAUUAGAUGAGUUUGGGAAGACAUGGUUGUGUAUGUAGUAUUUUCACCAUGAGGUUACCAUUGCUCGGCUCCUGACAGUAUGAUGCCUCAUUUAGAUUUUCUUAUUCCAGUGUGUUUGUAAUGUACUCGGAAAAUUAGUUUGCUUUCUUUUUGCUCCCUUGAGAAUGCAUCCUGAAUUAGUAUGAUAGCAGUCAAGCAAAAAUGGCUUACUGUUGAUACAAAUAUAACUUCGAUUACUCCUACUUUGCUGUUUUAUUUUUUCUGGACUUUAUAUAGAAUUUAUCCUUUUCAGUUGAUGCGCGCUGAAUGAAAUAUUAUAUCUGAGGGAACAUGAAACUUGCAAGUCAUGCUAUGUUUUAGUGCCAUGGAGUU